GAUGUUACUGUCCUCUGUCCCCUCCACUUCUAAAACGGGAUGACGAUCUUUCUUACUGCCAGUAUGCUAUGCAGCAACGUUUGAGGAAAGCCAAUGCCUCCGGGAGCCGUCUCUGAAAUCACAGCUUAAUGGGCAGAGGCAGAGUCCUGCCUGUCUCAGAACCCUCUGGGAACCAAGAAUUUCUGUUUCAGAUGAUCAGUUCUGCUCUUUGAGUUUCCAGAGUUUUGAGGGAGUAAUAGACCCCAGCGCAAUGGCACAGCCAAGAUUAUCUGGCUACCAUUUUUGUUUCUCCUAAGUCCAUUGGCGUAUGGCUCCAGGUGUACCUCUCCAGCACCCGUCAUGUGUCUGACUCAGAGUGGCCCUCAAUAAAUGAUUUGUCAUAUGA